rnacentral:ncRNA from 1 species
AAACAGGUUCUUCUAAGAACCAAGAUAGCUACUCAUGAAAUAUAUCU